rnacentral:rRNA from 1 species
AAUGUGGAAUUCGCCCUUCCGCGGUAAUUCCAGCUCCAAGAGCGUAUAUUAACGCUGUUGCUGUUAAAGGGUUCGUAGUUGAACUGAGGGCAACCAAGGAGACGAUCAAGUCCCGCUCUGUUUCUCAGGGUCGGCGACCAUCGCUCUUGCUGCUCGUGAACAUUUCAGAAACAAAGACCACGGAAUCGCUAUUCUGCCCGACAUCUCUCGCAUGCGAUGCAUGCAGUGCGGGCGGAUGUCCGUGAUUUUUACUGUGACUAAAAGAGCGUGACCAAAGCAGUCAUUCGACAUGAAUUUCAAAGCAUGGGAUAACCAAGGAGCAACCUACGGCUACCUUGUUACGACUUAAGGGCGAAUUCCACAGUG